AAUGGCGGACGAACUGCUGUGAAUUUAGGGUUGAAAGAUUCGAUGUCGCACUGAAUGGUCAGUUUAUUACGACAGUUGUGUUACAUUUGAUGACGGAUGAUGAGCUGUUCUAAAAAUUCGUCUCGUCUUCGCUUUGUACAUCGGAUGUGUUCAGUAACAUCUUUCUACCGUGAUGAAAUUCUAAUUUUACUGGGAACCCCCCGACUGGUGAGAGAUCUUCAAAGAACUUUGACAAUGAAAUGUAUCCUAUCACAUAGGAACGUUACUUACUCAUCUUCUAACAAAUGUUGCACUGAUCACCAAGGAAUGGGGUGAUGGAAAAAACAAUGACUUCCAGUCCAUGGACUUAACCCUGUUGGACAACUCAAAUGAACUACCCUAACAUGCACCAAUCCUUCGAUGUUUUUUGUUUUGUUUUCGUUAGUCACAACAAACACCACGAAAUUUAAGCGAUUAUUUUAAACAUUCAAGCGUGAUAGCGUGAUCCAAGUCGUGUUACAUUCAUUAUCGGUCACGAAGAAAGUGGCAGAUUGAAGUGAUGAUGCUGAGAUGACCUAAGCAGCAAAAGUUUGGAUGCAAUGGACUACUUGCUGGAUUUGUCUAAACUUUUUUUUAAGGAAGCUACGUCCUGCAGUCUUGUUGCAGUUGGUUGAGGGAAGCAAGUAUCUCAAGAGGAUCGCAAACUUCAGAAAGAGAAAAAGGACAUUAUUUGGUGAGUCUUGUAUCUUGGGGAGUUCUUCUACUCUGCAAAAGGGUUUCUAUUUGUUGAAAAAAUUGUCCCUAUUCUGUGGGUGAGGGAAGCAAGUAUCUCAAGAGGAUCGCAAACUUCAGAAAGAGAAAAAGGACAUUAUUUGAGUUAGAAAGGAAAGGGUAGGAAUUAAAACUGUUCCCUCAUAAUAUAUUUUCAGAACAUUGGCAAUUUAUUAAAGACUAUAGAAUGGCUAUGGCACAAUUUCCAGCUGGAGACUGUAUAAGAGACAUACAGGAUGGUAGAGUUUACCAAAAAUUCAUCCAGCAUGACCCUUGCACCAGAGGAAGAAAGUACUUUCAAUUAUAGUUAGCAGUGCACUGUUGAUUAAGUCCAAGAAGUUUAGUAUCAGUGGCCACUUAUUUGUUUUCUUGUGGAGUUGCGUCCCCAAGAAAGAUACAAAUUUGAAAACAUCCUACUUACUGGACUGUGGUCUGGGAAGUCCAAACCACAUGUGCCAUUAUUAUUAAAACAUUUUACCGGUGAAUUAUUCAAUAUGGCAAAUGGUAGUAAUUUUAACAAUGAAACUUGUGAACUUGUGUCAUCAGAGUGCAGAAUCCAAUCUGAUGUACCACACCUGCCGGCCAAAGCCUUGCUUUUAAAUAUCAAGCAGCACAAUGGUAAAUUUGGCUGCAGUACAUGCAAACAUCCAGGGAGGUACUGUCAUUCUGACGGGCAAAUACAUGUAAGGCUGUAUGAAUACUGGCCUUCUGGUACUGUGGCUGUCAGAACAGCACAAGAAACCAGGAUGUUUGGGAGAAUUGGGGAGGCAAGAGGCACCACAGUGUUUGGCAUUUAAAGAGAAAAUGUGUUUCGUCAAUUGGUUGACAUUUCAGACAAUUUACCUAUUGACUGAAUGCAUUGUGUUUGCAAAGGCAUCCUGAAAAGACAGCUAUUCAAAUGGUGGUUCAAUCCUCAAUAUGCUACAGAUUCAAACAGUUUGCUAGGAAUUAGUCAUGAGCUAGAAAACCUGUUCCUUUCUAUCAAAGUGCCACAUGACUUUACUAGAAAGCCAUGUAGCAUUGCUGAAUUAAAACAAUGGAAAGUAUCAGAAUUUGAGUUUUUUGCCCUCUUUGCUAGACUGCCAUGUCUUCAAUAUACUGUUCAUUCUUGGCAUAGAAUUUGGCAUAGACCACUUUUAUCACUUUGCACUUCUUUCCACUGCUCUUAAUUUCCUGCAUUUAGUUCCUAUUUCUAAAACUUGUGUAGAGAAGGCUCAAGUUUUGCUUGAAAACUUUGUAAGACUUUACUCAAGUCUUUAUGAUAUUGAAGAGUGUACAUACAACUACCAUGCUUUAUUCCACUUCCCUUUCCAAGAGUUCUUGACCAUGGUUCCUAAGCACUUUAACUUCUGCUUUAAAUUUGUAUUUGAAGCAAUUAUCUCUCACCUUAAAAAUCUGUAUUCUGGAACAAGGGGACUCCCAAAGCAAAUGGUGGAAAAACUAGGAGUAAGCCAAACCUGUGCUUGUUUCACAGAAAUGCAAAUCCACACCCAGUGCUGCUAGGUUUGCAAAACAUCUGCUUGGUGAAGGCCUAGUGUUCGGUAUACAGAAGGGAGUUCGAGAAGCUGACACAGUCUCAAAAUGUCUUUUUUGCAGCAUUUGGAAGUGGUCCUGUCCCAGAAUACUUGGUUUCCUAUAGGAUGACAAAAGAUCAUGUUACCUUCCACAGCACGAUGUAUCCUAGAAAAGGAAAUUCGGGAAGCUACCUUGUCCAGUUUUGUGCACAUGGGAGGAAAUGCUAUGGUAGAGUGGUUUGCUACAUCCUCUUCAAGAAUGUUGCCUAUGCAUUGAUCACAAAGUAUGGCUUGAAUGGAUUGAAUGUUUGCCAAGACCUUCCUCCACCACAGGAUGUAGUCGUGAAGGAAAUUGUUCAUCGAAACUUAAUCGGUCAACAUUUUCUCCAGGUUCAAGUUACUUGGGUGACUUCCCAAAAGACUUAAAAUUUUUUCGAUGGCUGCUGACAUCCUCUCUUAAAUGUUUCAAGAGAGAAUAAAGGGCAUCAUUUUCUCUUGACUAUUUCAAGUGUUAUUGUCAGUGAGAAAAUUUCCCAGAAAGUGGAGAAAUUAGCCUACAUGUAGCCAUAAUUCCCCCCUGUCCUCAGAGUGGAUUUUCGUUAAAAAAUCCAAAGCCAAUUUCUUUUUUCGUUUUAUAGCCAACAGUUCACCUCAUUGAGACCCCUCCUAGAAGAGAUCCUUUUUGGAUUACCCGGAAAAACGCAAAACAUAGAAAUCCAUGUGAUCCGGAAGUGGAUUUCUUAAUGGAGAUCCACUUUGAGGAUGGAUUUCCUAGCGUUUAAAGACGUGUUUUACCGCAAAAUCCGAAUUCUCGAUUUGAAAAUCAAAAUCGAGAUUCGUCGGAGUUAAGCACCCAGAUUUCUUUGAACACGGCGUCUUCUUUCUGAUUGGCUUAGACUAGCUCUCGACCCAGUUUCUUAGCAGCCAUAUUCAAAAUGGUGGACGAGCUGCCGUGUAUUUAGAUCUGAAAGAAUCGAUGUCGCAUUGAAUAGUCGGUUUUUUACGACAGUUGUGUUACAUUUGACGACGUAUGAUGAUGAGCUGUUCUAAAAAAUCGUCUCAUCUUUACUUUGUAUCGGAUGUGUUAAGUAACGUCUUUCUACCAUGAUGAAGUUCUAAUGUUUACCAGGAACCCCUCGAUAGGAGAUGAAAAACAGUUGGAUUCCCUCUUGGAAAUGUAAAGUAACUCAAGACGCGUCGCGGAAACAGGAAGAGCAAGAAAUGACCAUUAAGAAAUGUCGGAACAGAGUGGACUGUAUGACUGAUGAAAUGUAAAUGUUUCAAAGAAUUACUGCAAAGGGUGCUAUGCCUGAGCAAGUAAAUAAUAGGGCAUAAAGAUGGUUUCUGGGAAAACGUCGUGGUCAAUUUAGCAAUGGCAAAGAAGAAGCUUGAAAAAUACUAAAUAAAUAAAUCAACAUUAUUACUUCAUGAUCUCUUGGUCGACUUUG